rnacentral:rRNA from 1 species
UACGAAGGGUGCAAGCGUUACUCGGAAUUACUGGGCGUAAAGCGUGCGUAGGCGGUUUGUUAAGUCCGCUGUGAAAGCCCUGGGCUCAACCUGGGAAUUGCAGUGGAUACUGGCAAGCUAGAGUGCGGUAGAGGAUGGUGGAAUUCCCGGUGUAGCGGUGAAAUGCGUAGAGAUCGGGAGGAACACCCGUGGCGAAGGCGGCCAGUCUCGGACCCAG